CAGUCGCCGCGGGAAUACGUAGGUGGCAAGCGUUGUCCGGAAUUAUUGGGCGUAAAGGGCUCGCAGGCGGUUUCUUAAGUCUGAUGUGAAAGCCCCCGGCUCAACCGGGGAGGGUCAUUGGAAACUGGGAAACUUGAGUGCAGAAGAGGAGAGUGGAAUUCCACGUGUAGCGGUGAAAUGCGUAGAGAUGUGGAGGAACACCAGGGCGAAGGCGACUCUCUGGUCUGUAACUGACGCUGAGGAGCGAAAGCGUGGGGAGCGAACAGGAUUAGAUACCCCAGUAGUCCCUGUCUCUUAUACA
rnacentral:rRNA from 1 species